AGUUGUGAGGUUGCUAUCAAUAUUGUUGAUAUCAAUUAGUACAUCUUUGUACAAUGGAUUAUGUACUUUGAGCCAGUUAAGAACUUGUUGUAUUAACUCUGGUCGUGAUGCUUUAAAAUAAACUUGUCCUCCAGAUUGUAACUUUCUUUUAAGCUUAAUUAUUAUUAUACAAGAUCUAUCAGGUUGAUGAGGGAGUUGAUAACAUGUCUGAUCACAUUCUACAGAUUAUCCACAAAGAAUAAAUACUUACAGAAAACUUCUGCCCAGAACCACAGGCCUCUCUACCAAAAGAAUACUUUGUUUAAGUUUGAUACUUUAGGUAACUUGCUUUAUUUGCAAAAUAAUUAACAUAGAAGGCAUCAGUCUAUACACAUUAGCACAACUGCCAAAAUUUGUUUCAGCCAGAAACUUGUUUAUUUUUUUUCAAUCAUUGAUAAUCAUGAUGUUAUCCCACCCAUUGAUCUGUAUGGCCUUGUACAAACGUAUGAAACAUGUUUCUCUAUUAUUUUGUUCAUGGGAUGCUCAAGUUCAGAAAAAAUCUCCAAUGAUUAUUGUUAGGGCCACAGCUUUGCCAAGCAGCUGGGCUAAAAAAGAUUGAACAGUUGGCAAUACAGAAAACAAUACUGAAUACACCAAUUGGCAACAGGUUCUAUGCUGUCAUACAUAUGUUUUUUCUGUGUUUUCUCAUGAUGUGUUUCCUUUCAAUUUUAGUAAUUUUACAUGAACAGCAAAUAAAUUGUAUAUCACAUUCCAUAGUCAGUGACAUUCCUGUCUAUUUUGAAUAAUAUUAAUUUACUCUUCUAGAUUAUCCACACCACGAAUAUGUAUUGUCUGUUUCAUUGCAGGUGAAUGACUGUCUUCAUAUGUCAGAAGAGAAAACAAUUGCUUAACUUUUGUAUUUUGUUGAUAAAUACAAGCUAUACAGUAACUUGAAAUCCACAUUAAAAAUCCUGUUUUCCCAGUGGGGUUCCUUAAAAUCAAGGUCUCUAAAGAUGUUCUGCUUUCAGUUAAAUUACUUAAUUCUCUGUGACUUACUUCAUUAACAUGUACAUUUAUGUUAGUGCCAAAAAUUGUAAAACUGUCAGUCAGGGUAACUGAUAUUAAACAGUGGUUACUCUGCAUUGUAUUGUUAAGCUGAAAUCCAUUUUCAAUAAUUGCAUCUAAGGUAUUUGAGUUCUAGUAAGUACAAGGUGAAAUGAUUGAAUAAUGUGGAAUAAAGAACUUCUGCAAAACAGUGGUCUUUGUGACA